UGUUGCAAAAACCAGAGAAUGCGUUUCUGGAAAUUCUUGGCUCAAAUCAGCAGGGGUCGACUCAUGAGUCGACUCAUGCCUUGUGGGUCGACUCAUGAGUCAACUCACAGGUCGUGCCAAGCCAGAAAACUAGCAUGCCAAAGGAAAUUUUUGCGUGCCAAUCAGCUCAUAGUGCCAUGAGUUGACUCAUGAGUCGACUCAUGCACUUCAAACCUUCAUAACUUCAAAAAUAUAAGUCCAAACAUAAUAAAAUUUUCACCAAUAGAUUUCAAAUCAUUUGUUCUACCAAAUGGUACUAUCAAAUCAGGAUUUUAGUGAAAUUAUGAUUUUGCCCUUGAAGAGCAUAAGGACUUUUUCAUUUUAAAAUUAUUUGUAUCCCUUCAAUCUGCUUUGUAAUCAUCAAAAUCAAUCUAGGAGCAACA
rnacentral:lncRNA from 1 species